UACUAAAAAGAUAACUAGAAACUCUAUGGGAGUAGGUUUCUAUUAAAAAAUUCCCUUUCCUGUUGUUUCGGUGGAGCUUUGGGAAGGAGCAAAAGGAAGGUUCUACAUUUCUAGAUUCAAAUUCCUUCUGAGGAGAUCCUGUUAACUGGAGAACCCUUUAUGCUGCUGAGCUGGAGAGCUGGAGGGGGCUCAGCUGCGUAGCAAGGUGGAAGACAAAAUAAGGAGGGGUGAGAAUGAGGAGAAUGGAGCCAAUGACACCCAGCAUUGUAUGGAGGAAGGAAAGAGAGAAAAUCAUUGUAUCAGGAAGGCUAAGAAUGGACUUGGGAGGAUACAAAUGUCAGAUUUUAAAGUUGAUUGCUUUGGGUAGCAUGAUGUAAAUUCUUUCUCAAUCGCCACUGUCGAAUCUUAAGAAAGUCUACCUUACCCUCAAAUGCUUUGUGAGAGUGGAUUCUUCACAGGAUACUCAACGAGGUAUUGACAUUUAUGUCUGGAUGAAUACAUGCAGCGGAGCUAAGUAACUGAGCCAGUAGUCUACCUCAGGUCUGCAUGAUGCUGACACCUACACUCUCAACUGCUAGGCUUAUACUGCUGUUGCUUGGCUUUAAGGAAGAAUUAUUUUGCCCUGAAUAUGCCAGCAUUAUGAAGUUCCUUCUUUUAUGGAGUUGUGUUCCAAAACUGAGGUGUGGACCCAGGGAGUGCAUACCCACUCUAGUUUUCCAUAGCUGCUCCUAGAGUAACUCUGCCUGGUUAGUCAACCCCUAAGGGUCCACAUGACCUGACAAAGAAGAUAGUUGUGAUCCUUCUUGUCCUUACGUUCGGCUGUGACCGUGUAAUUUAUCUUGGGUCCUCCUGGAGUAGGUUACAGGUGGCCAGAAGCAGUCAGUCCUUCUGGGAGGAAAUAUAAACCCAAGCAGCCAAACCAAAAGAAAAGAAAAACUCGGUCUCUGGUGAGAGCGGUAGAGAGGAGCCAAAAGCCCUAACUCUGGAUACAUAAAAUGAAUACCCCCAAAUCUUCCCAUCACCACCACUUAUUAUUAUAGUAAUUAUGCCACUAGUUAUUACUAAUAGUAAAUAGGAAAAAAUAGAUUUUAGGAAUUAGAAAAGGUCUGUUUCUAUCUCUUCCCUUUCCCAUAGGCUGAAAUGAUUCUCACCCUACUUCUGUCCAACCCCUACUGCUUCUGUUUCUCCCAGGUUCUUGUUCCCUUGCCUUAUUGCCCACUUUUCUUCUUCCCCUGCUAGCCUACUUUCUCCUUUUCCAUAGGCCAGCCUUUGUUCUCCUCUAACAAUAAACUUGGCAGCACAGUGCACAGAAAAGAGGUUAGCUGUUUAAAACGUGUUAGUACCUAUCCAACACCAUGGAGAGGAAGGUUGGUUGGUUUUUACAGGACUAGUUCCACUAUUCAGAAAAAUUCCCUUAAUAGAAGAUUUACUGAUUAAUUCAUAUUACCUAAUUAUAAAUAACAUUUGGGAGAAAACAGGUAUAGCAGAUGCUGUUGGUGCCCCACCCCUAUCGCCUUGACAUUUACCAUGUCCAUACAUGCUGCCCAACUUCCAGCUGCCACUCUGCCUGGAGCCCUCUCUGCCCUCCACCCUCCCAGAAGCAAUCCUUAACCAAUGACUGAUGGAGUUACUGGAUAAAUAUCCCAGUUCCCUUGCCUCAUGCGUGGGAUACAUCUGAGGCAUGUUCUCCCAGGGAGAUUGUGCUCCAGCUGCCCUUACUGAUCUUGCUCAUCAAGGCAAAUUUUACUGGCUUCCUUCCUUUCCCUGUUUUACUUCUUUACUUCCUGACUAAUAUUUCCAGGAAUUAUCUGCCAAAUAGAUACUUGAAUUUAAACCAUUUUCUCAGGGUCAAUUUUGGGAGAACAUAAAUCAAGAAAACAAUUUAAUUUGCCUGACCUAUUGAUUACUAAGCAAGCUUCUGAUUUGUAGUUUGGUGACAUUAGUGGCUCAUUUCUGAUAGGAUGUUCUGUGCAGAUAACUUGUCCUGUUUAUAUGUAAAUCCUAUCUGUGGCUGAUUAAUGACUCUUGGAAAUAUUGUUGAUGUGAGUCAAUCUUCUAGAACAGAAAUUGGCAAAGUACAACCUGUGUGUCAAGUCUGUUCAGUCACUUGUUUUUAUAAAUAAAGCUUUAUUGGAAC
ensembl:lncRNA